GAUGAAGAACGCAGCAAAAUGCGAUAAGUAAUGUGAAUUGCAGAAUUCAGUGAAUCAUCGAAUCUUUGAACGCACAUUGCGCCCGCUGGUAUUCCGGCGGGCAUGCCUGUUCGAGCGUCAUUUCAACCCUCAAGCCCCCGGGUUUGGUGUUGGGGAUCGGCUCUGCCUUCUGGCGGUGCCGCCCCCGAAAUACAUUGGCGGUCUCGCUGCAGCCUCCAUUGCGUAGUAGCUAACACCUCGCAACUGGAACGCGGCGCGGCCAUGCCGUAAAACCCCAACUUCUGAAUGUUGACCUCGGAUCAGGUAGGAAUACCCGCUGAACUUAAGCAUAUCAAUAGGCGGAGGA
rnacentral:misc_RNA from 1 species